GACGAACCGAGCGAACGUUGUUCGGAAUAACUGGGCUUAAAGGGCGCGUAGGCGGGCCGCCAAGUCCGAGGUGAAAUCCUCCGGCUCAACCGGAGAACUGCCUCGGAUACUGGAGGCCUGGAGGGGGGUAGGGGCACGCGGAACUGUGGGUGGAGCGGUGAAAUGCGUUGAUAUCCACAGGAACUCCGGUCGGCGAAGGCGGCGUGCUGGACCCCACCUGACGCUGAGGCGCGAAAGCCAGGGGAGCAAACGGG
rnacentral:rRNA from 1 species